AUAAUGAUAUAACGCAAAGGUCGCAUUAUGAACAUGAUGCAUAAGAGAGAAUCCGGUGAGAAUCCGGAACGAUGCCGUCACUGUGUAAGGGAGCUGCUUCAGAGCCCACUGGGUAACCGGGAAGGGGAAGCAGUGUUGAACGAAGUCAGGAGAACUGCCUUUGCGUGGAAUUGUGGG
rnacentral:ncRNA from 17 species